UUAAUGAUGUUGUUGUUGCA
rnacentral:miRNA from 1 species